rnacentral:lncRNA from 1 species
GAUAAAAGAAUGGAUUUGUUGCCAUAGCAUUUCAGUCUCCAAUACACAUCACCAUCAGUGCCUGUAAAGAAAGGCUCCGUCCUAACAGCUUCAGAGUUUUUGUUAUCUAUACAAACACACACAAAAAAAAAUUAGUCAGAACCCAACAUAAGAAAAGGAUCAACAUAAUCAUUGAAAUUCAAUAGGCCAGCCAUCAUGAACACAUAAGUAUUUUCGCAUAUCCCAUAUAGAACUCUCAUUUAAGAAUGAACUGAAAGCCUGGGUGCAGAAAUAGCAAUCUAUGUUACUGUAGUUUUGCUACGUUUUCCUUUACAUGACAGAGCUUGGUGUAGUGAUCUUCUCUUUAUCAUCUCUGAUUGCAUGGAGCAGGUGUUUAAUGAUUGUGAAAAAAGUAGGAUUUUCCAUCUUUUCACUAGCCAUUAUAUUACGGAAUGUGGGUUUAUGGCUGAGAACCUACUCAUUGUAUCAUCAAGGUACUCACGUAACUCCACUCCAGUCUACAUCAAUUAUUGCACUAUUCGAUAGAGUACCUGCUACCUCCCACCAGCGCAGAUAACGAUCAAGCUUCUUUUCUUAUAUAUGUAGUGUUGUCAAUAUCCAGUGGCCUAUGUAACUAGUGGAUUGUAGGUAAAGAAGAAGAAUAUGACUAAUAGCAAGAAAGUAUAUUUGUGGUUGUUGGUUCUGUUCAUGGCAAAUGGAUGGUGUUGUUGUUAUUGUUGUUGGAAUGAAUAAAGGACUGCUCUAUUGCAGCUCAAGGAAAACAUAAAAUACAGUACAGGCGACUACUAUUUGUCAUCGCGGGGGGCGAAUGAAACUGCGAAUUGUUGUCGAUGGGAGGGAAUUAUUUGUCAUCAAUGACUGUCACAUGAUUUAACAUGUCCAUUUUAAGUUUCUUGCUAAUUUGGUAACAGGUUUCGAAAAACUGAGACCACUGAAAAAACUGGAAGUACUUGAUUUGUCAGGGAGUAAGUCAUAAUCUGAACAGAGUUAAGACACUGCUUUCUUAGUAGAACAAUUAUAUUUUACUGGAGGCUAAGCUUGGUGGAGUUUACUGUAAUAACUUAUUAGCUAUAAGCUCGUAUAGAACAAUAAAUCUUUCUUUCUUUCUUUCUUUCUUUCUUUCUUUCCUUCUUUCUUUCCUUCUUUCUUCAAAAACGUAAUGAAAUGUUCUGAUAAAAGGUUCUCACCUCCUCCUCUUCAAGUGGUAGAAAUCAAUGAAAUAAAUUAGCUGAAAAUGAGAAAUUUGAGUCUUUACCCUGAUAUCUUCUGACUCUUGCAUCUUCUUAUCAGAAAACAUAUUAACAAAACUCUCAUGGAAACAGUUAUGCAACAUGAUUUACAACAAUUGAUGUCAGAGUUGAAACUGGGCUCAUAUACAACCACAAUGCAUCAGCCUCCUCACAAGAUAGAGAAGAAACAUGCCAGAUAAAUGCACCAUACAAAAGAUCAACUCUAUUUUUAAUUCAUUAGUCCACGUAAGUGUAUUAUAAAACAGACCUAUAAUCUAAAGGUUGUAGAUAAUAGUUUGUCAAUACCUCGACCAAUAUGCUUUGUAAAGCAAAAGCAACCUAGCACAGUUUUACUAUUUCAAUCAUUUCUAACUUUUGCAUAGAGCUAUGUAAUUGUGUAAAGAAGAACCUAAACCAUAGAUGAUUGAAAUUGAUUGAGAAAGAUGCAUCUGCUUUUAAGAACAUAAUGUGAGAUUUUGCAUACAAUGGAUGUUAUUUAUUCAUACUGAAAUUGAUUUAUAAGGCUAGACAACCAGUUGGUAUGUUUAUUUUAUUAUUUCUGUUACCUAUAUUUUUUAAGAAAAUAAAAUUUAAUAAGGAAAACAUGAGUUGGUCGGUCUUAGUAGGCUAGCUAACUUAUGAACCACCAUAGGAUCGGAGGUAAGGUUUAUGUGCCCCACCUUGUAUUUUUUUUUAAUUUGUGAUAAGGCCUGAAAGAGAGAUGUCGUUCUAGAAGCACUGCCUUUCUUGGAAAGAUCUGGAGUUCCAUCCCUUCAAGUUAACAAUUUGAUAUGUAGGACAAAGAAGAACAAUCUAAACUGUCUGAUCCAUAUACAUACAUAUCUUUUUCAUUCAACCACAUCCAUGUUUCAACUUUAUCACCAUACUUGCCUUCCAACAGAAUGAACAUUUCAAAAAUAUUGUCUUUGUAUGAACAAGUUGGCCUCCCCCAUCAAAGUCAGACUGAAAACUAAGUACAAAUGCUAUAUAACACACCAACAACUUUGAUAAUACUUUCACUGUAUUAGACAUCAAGGAAAUGAACAAACCAACAAAAUAGGUAAAUCUUUCAUUGCAUUGGAUAUCAAAAAUGUCAGACCAAACCAUUCUAUCUAUAUUCCAUACUGGUGUAAAAGGGGAGUGCUAUGCUUCUUCGAGAAAAAAAGGUUAUUUUAUCUCGUCAUUUUCAGAUAUCCUCUUUGUCAUUGUUUCAAGCAGCUAGCAUUCUUUGCUUGCUUACUUUCAUCUUCCAAAACAAGUACCAUCUUUCCACUAUAAAUAAUUAUUUUGGCAAAAUCAAUGAAGGGUUGACCUUCUUAUAUUCAUCCUGUCAUCUUUGUUCUUAAAUAUCGAAUAACCAAAUGAGCAUUUUUUAGUACAUCCCUGCCCAAAAUUAUUUCCAUCGUAAAGCUAUCAUAAGAUCUUCUUUCAGUAGCUUAACAUGGUGUAUCUGAAACAGAAAGGGGCACAUAUCCUUCAUCUUAAAACAAAAUUUUAAAUUUUUUAGAUAUCUGAUGAGUGAAUAGAUUUAGCAACAAACCUUUUAUUAUUUCAGGAUGCGUUGCUUUUAUUGGUUCUACCUCCUAUAUUCUUAUGAAGAAACUGAAUCUUUUUCUCGAAGGACCAGGGAAAAAUAAGUCCAAAAAUAUAUAACCAUUAAUGUGGGACUUGAGAAAUUCUUUUAUCCCUAAAACGACAUAAAUUACACGAAACACACACAUAAAUGGAUAAACGAGAGGAUGAACAUAUUUUAACUCAAUCAACUGGUAUGGACUAUGGCAAGAUUACCCGUAUCAUCUUCCAAAAGUGGUGAGGAUUGCUUCAAGUGGGACCUGAAGCCGCAAGGCAAACUGUGAGAGAACAUAUUGUUCUAGAUGCUCUAAACAUUUCCAUGUCGUCAAUACACCU